rnacentral:rRNA from 1 species
GACGAACGCUGGCGGCGUGCUUAACACAUGCAAGUCGAACGAUGACGACCGAGCUUGCUCGGUCUGAUUAGUGGCGAACGGGUGAGUAACACGUGAGCAACCUGCCCUUCACUCUGGGAUAACCUCGGGAAAUCGGGGCUAAUACCGGAUAUGAGCUCCUGUCGCAUGGCGGGUGUUGGAAAGUUUUUCGGUGAAGGAUGGGCUCGCGGCCCAUCAGUUUGUUGGUGAGGUAGUGGCUCACCAAGGCGAUGACGGGUAGCCGGCCUGAGAGGGCGACCGGCCACACUGGGACUGAGACACGGCCCAGACUCCUACGGGAGGCAGCAGUGGGGAAUAUUGCACAAUGGGCGAAAGCCUGAUGCAGCGACGCCGCGUGAGGGAUGACGGCCUUCGGGUUGUAAACCUCUUUCAGCAGGGAAGAAGCGAAAGUGACGGUACCUGCAGAAGAAGCGCCGGCUAACUACGUG